GGCAAAGAGACGGGUUUUGCCCCUUGCACUCGUCCUUUAUCGGCGUAAGUUUUUAAGACUGAUGUCAACGCUCAUUUCCAUAAACUCCAGUCCGCCACCAAUUAAAAAAACCGUGACUUGUGAAGGCGAGUCCUUUCUCACGGAGCCGCCAAAGUCGCAACAGCUCAACGCUGAAAGCCCGUCUGUGGUCUAUUGAAGUGGUACAGGGUGCUUACCCAUGCUGUGAUUUAAUGACUUAAUGACCUAAGGACAAAGGGCAGCGCCUGAAAUUAUCAUCCUCUACUGGUCUGGGAGUCAUCCUCUACUGGUCUGAGCAUCAUCCUCUGCUGGUCAGUCGAGCACUGUGACACAACAUAUAACAGUAUAGGCCUUACUACAACGCGUCACAGGUAGAAAAGUAGAUGGAUGCAGGGACGUUCGGUGACUGAAAUAUACCAUACAUACCAUAAAUAAAGCUGAGAUAUACUCUCCAAAAAUA